rnacentral:rRNA from 1 species
UACGAAGGGGGCUAGCGUUGUUCGGAAUCACUGGGCGUAAAGCGCACGUAGGCGGAUUCUUAAGUCGGGGGUGAAAUCCUGAGGCUCAACCUCAGAACUGCCUUCGAUACUGGGGAUCUUGAGUUCGGAAGAGGUUGGUGGAACAGCUAGUGUAGAGGUGAAAUUCGUAGAUAUUAGCUAGAACACCAGUGGCGAAGGCGGCCAACUGGUCCGACACUGACGCUGAGGUGCGAAAAGCGUGGGGAGCAAACAGGGA